UAUAAUGGUAAAACAAAGAAAUUGGGAGGAAAUCACUGCAAAAGUGCAAGACGUACGGUGGUGAGGUGGUGGCUAGCUAGCUGCUACACGAAGUAGGCUACAACAAAGUUAGAAAAUCUAACGGUUAUGGCCAAGAAGGAGAUGUCCUGCCUUGGGAGUGAAUCAAAUGGAAAAGGGGGUGUCCUAGCUCCAGCUGCAAUGGUCGCUGACAUGCAUUGGACGCACCCAGUGAUGGGGAGUGCUGGUGGACAGGAUCUGCGCGUCCUAUCAGAAAGUGAGUCAGACCUUCGGCAGUGAGCCAGUCAAAGAAAUGAGUGAAGCGAUAGUGCCCGUCAUCCUGUCUAUCCUCCGCCAGCCCAGCGUAAAAGAGAGCGGAAAAGUAAGUUAGGCAUAUUGAUGCUACUGUGUUUCCUAUUAAAA